CACGUGGGCAACCUGCCUUACAGAGGGGGAUAGCCUUCCGAAAGGAAGAUUAAUACCGCAUAUUAUGAUUUUUCUGCAUGGGAAAGUCAUGAAAGGAGCAAUCCGCUGUAAGAUGGGCCCGCGGCGCAUUAGCUAGUUGGUGAGGUAAGGGCUCACCAAGGCGACGAUGCGUAGCCGACCUGAGAGGGUGAUCGGCCACAUUGGGACUGAGACACGGCCCAGACUCCUACGGGAGGCAGCAUG
rnacentral:rRNA from 1 species